rnacentral:rRNA from 1 species
UUAUACGACCGUACCGCAAACCGACACUGGUGCGCGAGAUGAGUAUUCUAAGGCGCUUGAGAGAACUCAGGAGAAGGAACUCGGCAAAUUGACACCGUAACUUCGGAAGAAGGUGUGCCCUAUUAGUGUGUAGUGAACAACGAAGCAUGAAUGGGUUGCAAAAAAUCGGUGGCUGCGACUGUUUAUUAAAAACACAGCACUCUGCAAACACGAAAGUGGACGUAUAGGGUGUGACGCCUGCCCGGUGCUGGAAGAUUAAAUGAUGGGGUGCAAGCUCUUGAUUGAAGUCCCAGUAAACGGCGGCCGUAACAAUAACGGUCCUAAGGUAGCGAAAUUCCUUGUCGGGUAAGUUCCGACCUGCACGAAUGGCGUAACGAUGGCCACACUGUCUCCUCCUGAGACUCAGCGAAGUUGAAAUGUUUGUGAUGAUGCAAUCUCCCCGCGGAAAGACGGAAAGACCCCAUGAACCUUUACUGUAGCUUUGUAUUGGACUUUGAACAGAUCUGUGUAGGAUAGGUGGGAGGCUUUGAAGCAGGGUCGCUAGAUCUUGUGGAGCCAACGUUGAAAUACCACCCUGGUGUGUUUGAGGUUCUAACCUAGGUCCAUUAUCUGGAUCGGGGACAGUGCAUGGUAGGCAGUUUGACUGGGGCGGUCUCCUCCCAAAGCGUAACGGAGGAGUUCGAAGGUACGCUAGUUACGGUCGGACAUCGUGACGAUAGUGCAAUGCAUAAGCGUGCUUAACUGCGAGACUGACAAGUCGAGCAGAUGCGAAAGCAGGACAUAGUGAUCCGGUGGUUCUGUAUGGAAGGGCCAUCGCUCAACGGAUAAAAGGUACUCUGGGGAUAACAGGCUGAUACCGCCCAAGAGUUCAUAUCGACGGCGGUGUUUGGCACCUCGAUGUCGGCUCAUCUCAUCCUGGGGCUGUAGCCGGUCCCAAGGGUAUGGCUGUUCGCCAUUUAAAGAGGUACGUGAGCUGGGUUUAAAACGUCGUGAGACAGUUUGGUCCCUAUCUUCCGUGGGCGCUGCAGAUUUGAGGAAGCCUGCUCCUAGUACGAGAGGACCGGAGUGGACACACCUCUGGUGUAUCGGUUGUCACGCCAGUGGCAUUGCCGAGUAGCUAAGUGUGGAAGAGAUAACCGCUGAAAGCAACUAAGCGGGAAACUCGUUUCAAGAUGAGAUCUGCCGGGGCCUUGAGCCCCUAAAGAGUCGUUCAAGACCAGGACGUUGAUAGGUCAGGUGUGGAAGC